AUGAAUGUUUCUGAUGAAAUUCUAAAGAAAUGUCAAGGGGUUCCACUAGCCAUACUGACUGUAGCCAGCCUUUUGGCUAAUCAUAAGGAGGUAAAUUCAAAGGAUUUCUGGGAAAUGAUACAAAACUAUUUAAGUUUACAGUUGGAAGGAAACCCUGCUUUUCAAUGGAUGAGACAUGUCCUUAAUCUUGGAUACAGUUAUUUAUCUCUGGAUCUCAAGACCUGCAUGCUAUAUCUUGGUAUAUUUCCUGAAGAUUCUGAAAUAAGAAAGGAUGAUUUGGUUAAGAGAUGGGUCGCCGAGGGUUUUGUUGGCCUAGAGGAGAUGGCAGAAAGUUAUUUUAGUGAGCUCAUCAAUAAAAACAUGAUCCAAAUAGCCAGGUUUGAUGACUGUGGGAAUGUGCUGUCUUGUCGAGUGCAUGAUCUAAUGCUUGACUUUAUCAUACUGAAGUCCACAGAAGAAAACUUUAUCACUGUAAUUAAGGAAUCCCCUAUUAUUCGUGAUCCACAUACCAGGAAAUGCUCCAUGGAAGUUCGCCGACUAUCCCUCCAAGUCAGAAAUUCAGAAUGCAAUCAUGUGGUAGGGAGCAUUGCUUUAGCCCAAGUUAGGUCAUUUAACUUUUGGGGCCCUGGUCAAUGUAUGCCUUCUCUCUCGAGGUUUCAACUCGUGCGAGUUCUACAUCUUGAUGUUUAUGAUACCAAGGAAGAGCAGUAUGAUCUAUCUUCUAUAUGCAAUUUGUUCCUACUGAGAUAUUUGAGGAUUGGAGGUUUGAAGUGUGAGAAACUCCUAAAACAAUUGCAAAAAUUGAAACAUCUGAAGAUAUUGGAGAUCGUCGGUGGAGAAAAUGGUGCAUGGCUGGAUGUUCGCUACUUACCCUCAAUGUUGUGGCAUCUCAUCAUUCCUUCAGAUCUGUCUUUGUUUGGUGGGAUCGGCAGGAUGGAAGCCCUCCGUACUUUGCAUGAACUUCACAUCACAGAUUUUGGGCUCCUGGAUGAAUUCAAUCUGAGGACAAAAGUUGAUCUGAAGACAAAUCUGGAGAUCCUGAAGGAACUCGGUAAUCUGAAGAACUUGAGAGAGCUAAAGCUUCACCUGUCCGGACUCACUAACGCUUUUGAAGACUGUCUACUCCCUUCGCUCUGUAGGCUCAGCAGCCUUCAAUCCCUAACCACUAGUGGAGACCACUUAAAUGGUGAUUGCUUGGCUUAUUGGACCCCACCUCCACGCCAUCUUUAUAGAUUGCACGUGCUGAACUGCCCCUUCUCCAUGGUCCCAGAUUGGAUUGUGCGACUUGAAAAUCUCAAAAGCUUGGAGAUGCAACUUGUGUCACUGCCGAGGGUUGGUGUUGAGGUUCUCUCCAGUCUGACCUCACUGGUGCACCUUACAUUGCGUGUUAGGGAUCAUGCUCCCGAAGAAGACGUCGUCGUUAUCCGUGGUUCAACGUUCCCAAACCUCAAGAAUCUUGUCUUCACAUAUGAAGUGCCUUGCCUGGUGUUCGAGGCAGGGGCUAUGCCAAGGCUCGAGGACCUCACUAUAGAGUGUUGCGCAGAAGCUGUGCAGCAUGCCGAUGGUGUUCUUGAUGGCAUCGAGCACCUGGGAAGUCUCAAGGCAUGCAAGGUGAACAUUUACAAGCGGGCCGGGCUCUUUAGGCAAAGUUGUUUUCAUAUGAUGGUAUGCAGUUCAUGUGGAAUGGAAGAAAAGGAUCCACACAUGCAGGGGCAGAGUCUUCAGGCUGCGAUCAGGGAGGCGAUCAACAAGCACCCGGGUAAUCCCAAUAUCAGCAUUAUAACUUUUUGA
rnacentral:rRNA from 1 species